rnacentral:rRNA from 1 species
UGUUUCGGCUAGGGGGCCAUCCCGGCUUACCAACCCGAUGCAAACUGCGAAUACCGGAGAAUGUUAUCACGGGAGACACACGGCGGGUGCUAACGUCCGUCGUGAAGAGGGAAACAACCCAGACCGCCAGCUAAGGUCCCAAAGUCAUGGUUAAGUGGGAAACGAUGUGGGAAGGCCCAGACAGCCAGGAUGUUGGCUUAGAAGCAGCCAUCAUUUAAAGAAAGCGUAAUAGCUCACUGGUCGAGUCGGCCUGCGCGGAAGAUGUAACGGGGCU